AGUGGGGGGUUAGCUUGCCCCUCCCUUCUUUGGUAAUUUUUUUUCCCUGUGUCAAAUUUACUGUUCACUUGAGAUUUUGGACAAAGAUGGGGGCAGUGGGUGGGCUGCUUUGAGUUUUGUGAUAUAAUAUGACUGGAGCAAGAGAGUAAAGCGCAGACAAUUAAGGAUCAGUGCGAGGGCUUUGCUCAUUCAGUCUGUUGAGGAAGCCAUCAUUUUGUGUUAGUGUGCGUGUCUGGAGGAGGAAGGAUAGUGGAGAGUGACAGUGGAAGGAUGCCUAAUGUUGUGGUGUAUUUGUACUUGCUAAAUGCCUGCUCCAGGAAAGGAGGGCUUCAAAAGAAAGGGAUGAGCAAAAGGGGGUCCUUCUGCAUUUGCCCUUUGGUGAAGCCACUUCGGACUGGAUUCUCACAGCUGGGAAUGUGGUGUUUUUGUUGCCUCCAUGAAAGGGGAGGGCUGAGAAACGAAAAGGGCAGGUGUCAGGCAGGCUCCUUGCUGCCACCGCUCUGCCUACGCAUCUCACCCCGAUCACCCCGAUGACCGGCGGCUUCUCUGCUGCUCUGGUUCAUGAAACUCCUGUGAAAAGCACCGCGUCCCGACUGUCUGCAGGGCCAGGCUUCUCUCCACUCCGGGGUCACUCGGGUCCUGCUGCUGCACUUCACUCCUAAGGACCCAGAGCACCUCCUGCUUUUGUAGUUAUUUAUUUCUUUAUUUCAACUACUGGACCCUGGCUGUCCUCUGCCAAUAUGUUUCAAGGCUGAUGAAUAGCACCCCCUGCAGUUAUAGAGCUGAUCUUUUGUAGCACAGAUGUAUAAUUAAUUGUGCAGCACUUUUGCAGUCUGAACUAGCAAGUGGAUUCUUGGAAGGCACCCAUGUACUGCCACCUGCUUCUCAGAGCCCCAGCUCCAUGGCCCUUGGGGAAGGGACCUGUUGGCCACAGCUUAAGAGCCUCUGUCCUACUGGACUGAUGUGAAACAGGAUUCGAAUCCAGGUCUUUGGUGUAAAAGCCAAAAAAGCCACAAACAACCCUAAAUCCAAAGCACUGCUGCACCACAGGACUCCUCUCCGUUGCCUCUGCUUCAACAUGAAAGAAUUUUUAGGCAUUUUUGCAUCUCUGUUCCAUCACAAUGGUGAUGUUUAGGGGGUUUUUUUUCCCUUCUUUUUUUCCCCUCAGAGGGAAAGUAAGAAUUUUUAAGUUUGUAAAGCACUUUGAAGAUAAAAAUCGUUGUCUGUGCACAAUACUGUCUGUUGGUUUGUCUGAGUCACUACCCAGCUUGCCUGGGAAGUGAAACCUAGAAUCACCCCACAGGCCCCUUGGAGGAUUAAGUCGAAAGAACCAUUGAGGUCUUCUCCUGUGGACCUCUGGCCCUAGGGAGAGCAGGAGUGGGGGUGACCAAGUGGGACUGGACACUGCUUGUGAGUCUGGGAGGUGGGGAGUGGUGAGUUAAGUGCAUCCUGCAAAACUGAGGGUAGAGGACAUUUGGGAUGUAAUUUAGCUAAGAAUAGAUACAGAAGAGAUUUUAAGCCUCAUUAUUUUGUUUGGCUAUGGCAGGAUUGUCCCCUAUGGGGCUUUCCUCUGUUCUUUAUCUAUCUGCUUUUAAAAGAGCAGAAAACAGUGGAGAAAACCCUUUCCUUUGAUUUCUUUUCAGCUGGGGACGUCUGUUGCCCAGGACUGUAACCAAAAAGUGGAAGGUCCCCAGGUGUCUUCUCUCAGGCUCAGAGAUUGCAGUGGGAGAAGGAAGCAGGAUCCAGCUGGUAUUUUGUUUAGGUCUAAUUACUCACAGCACAUUUACAGAAGUUAAAUGGGAGACCUUCAGUCCUAAUCAUCUCUCAGGACAAAUUGUACCCAUAGGUUUCUACUACCCAGUAUAAGUACAGACUUCUUACCAGAUGAAUAUGGAAGACUUUCUUGGUUUUGGUCCAGUCUGAUGCUUUCUGCAUUGGCCCCUUGCUGCUGCAAGCUCUUCUUAUGUGCUGUUUUAUGUGCCUGGAAUUCUGGAGCGUGGUAGCAGCAAGGUGACUGGAAGAACUAAAGCUGUUCCUUCAGGGACCUUUUUUUUCCUCUCCUGUUGGCACAGCUGAGAUUCAACAGCUAUUGCAUACAUCAGGGAGGAAGCCAACAGGGAGCAAAAUUCUUUUGUCUGCAGCAUCACAAUCACUUUCACAGCAACUAAUUCUAUUCUGCCAGAAGCAGCUUUUUGGCAGGAAGCAAAAGGAAGAAGCAGAAGAAGCAGAGGAGGUCUUAAGGUACAAAGAUCUUAUUUUCAUGAAUCAGCUCUUUGUAAUGGGAAGAUGAAAAGGCAGAAGUGUUGCAGUGUUUUAAUUUUUUUCCUGCUAUGAUUCACACUACCUACCUUCAGCUGCUUUAUCAUUUUUUUUUCCUUUUUCCUUCCUUUGAGGUGCUCCAAAGUCUUUCUAUCCAGUUGUUCGGUUGCAGGAAGAGGCUGUAGGAUUUAAUGCUAUGGUUUAUGGAGAUCUCCCCAGUGCCUGGAGGAGAGCAGCUUCCAAGUGAUGCACCCAAGAUGUGACCAUUAGUAUGCUGAAAACUUCUGCCUGUCCAAAAUAUUUUCCAGCAAGCACAAAUCCUUUGGUAGUCUUAAGGGGAAAAGUUAAAUAUCAGUGAAUUAAUGAGAGGAGAGCCCUCUCUAUCUUUGUUGCAGUUCCUUGGGAGACGUCUGAUACCGCUUCUCCCUUGUGUAGGGUCAGAUGUAACACUUUUUAUCUGAAGUGUAAAAGAAAUAGGAGGAAGGUGUGGGAAAUCCUAGGGAUAGGUAGGAAGAGAAGUAGGAAAUGUUAAUGAAUGUAGCCAUGCUGAUGUCUUUCUUGGAGAAAGAGAAACAGGUGAGCUGCCCUUGCUUUACAGUCACUUAAAGAUGUAGCUGUCCCACCGUGAAUAUAAGUUUCAGUCCCCAGUUGCGUGACCUGUAGGUGCCCAAUCUUGCUGUCAUGUUUUGUAUUAUCUAUCUUCAAGGUAGUCACUAAUGCCCAUUCCCAUAGCAUCUAAGAGCCUCUAGAUGAAAGCUGUAAAAGUGCAGUGGUGAGCCUGUGCAUGACACAAAAUUGUGUAACAGGGGAAAAGAUUACGAUAAGAGUAAUACUUAGAGGGGACGGGUGCCAUGUCUGUGAGAAAUCUAUGUGCCUGAGUCUGCGGAGUCUUCACCUUCCUAGUGCUGCAUCAGCAGCAAAACCUUUUAUUUUGAAAAGAAGAAAUCUGUCAGAGGACCCCACCAGCUGCAUGCAGAAAUCAUGUUUCCUCUAACAAACACUGGUGUGCUCAGAGCCUUUCCAGCAUAUGUUACCUGCAAAUUUGUUCUUGAUUCCCCAUCCUGCAUCACUUACUGUCCUCUGCCCUUCCAGGCAGAGGGAGCUCAGGGGGUGUGUGAAGAUGAGAGGUGGUUGAGGUCAGGAAUGGUGUCAUCCUUCUCUUCCCCCUCCAAGCUGCUAAUGUAUGCUUCUGGAGAGCCACACGAACUGAGUAAUUACUGAAUUACGGCUAGAUCAGAAGUGCUGACCUCAAAGACAGAAGGAGACUCUCCAUCUCCAUUUGUCAGUCCUCUUGGGGUCAGAAGGACAAUUUUUUGCUGGGAUCUGUGAGAGAGGGGAAAGGAAAGUGCAAGGUAAGCCUUACAUUAAGGCAUAGCAGGCAAAAACGUUUGUUUUAGCCAUUGUGAGUUCAUGUGCAGAAAGAUGCAGCAUUGGUUGCAUUUGUGUAAUGACAGCAGCACUGGUGGGAGCAGUGACACUAACCCAGAAGGCUACUUAGGGGACUUCAUUUUGCUCAGAAUCUCCCAUCCAUCAUUGAGGAGGGUGCCAAGUCUUGAGGCUAUUUUCCUGCCUUAUUUGUGCCUCUAUCCUCAAAAGCAUUUUGAUUAGGAGAUGGCAGGGAGGAUUUCAGGGAGGAAAUCGGUAGGAUUUGGAAAAUUUCUGUUCUGGUAGUCCACAGUGACUCUGUACAAUUAUGACUGAGCUGGUUUUCUUGCACUAAAAGCAGAGACUUCAAUCUUUCUUAGGACUGUGGUGUAGCACAUCUGCUGAAUUUAUAGCACUUACUCUUGGAUGAUGGAAUGUAUUUGCUGUAAAUUUACAUUCAAACCUGUUUAGUUUGUAAUGUUGAUUGUAAAAUUGAUCCUUUAAGAUCCUUUUUGUUGGGGUUUUUUUAUUUGUUUGUCUGUUUGUAACCAUUUCUGGCCUUAAAUCCCUGGGGUUUUUUCUUCUUUUCAGAAUUGAAGGGUGAGAGCAUAUAGAUGCAACUGAGGACUUUACCCUGAAGUAGAAAAGCUUGCAUGGGUUUUAGAUUCCCACCUUGAUCAUUUUUGUGGGAUUGUAGCCCUAGUAGCAUGAUGGGGUUACUUUCUUCAUUAGUCCUAGUAAUGUUUUAUUUAUAACAAUUUUUUUGUGUAACUGACCGUGGUCAAGUAGGUAGAUGUCACUGAAUGGCCAAGUCAGAAGGUUGAAAUUCUUUCUUCUGGAAAGAAAAUUAAAUGUUCAGUGGCAAAGGAAAACUUGGCAAUGUGAACAAGGUGUACUAAUGACAGUGGUUUUUCAUCUGGAGUCUGCAGACAGCCAAAAAUUAGUUUCUGAGAGAAUUAAAUUAUCCAUUAAGCUCAGUGGGGUUGUAUGUUGAAGCCUGAUAUAUCACUUGGAAAGCUGCAAAGAAUAUGGCGUCUUUACUUGCAUGAUAAUAUAGUUUUGAUAACUUUGUUUACAUUCUGCACUUAUAUUGACCCUGUGUAUUACCAGUAAUGCCUACUGUAAUGCCACAGUUGACGAUGGUGUGACAAUUGCCUGUAUUUUAUAGCAUGAGCUCUUUUAAAACUUCGGUUCAUCCUUCAAAAUCAGCCAUAUAGUUUUCAAGGUUUUAAAUAUUUUAAAAAGCAACUCCUGUUGUAUUUCCGUUGUAACACCUAUAAAGUAGUCGUGAUGGAGAUGGGAAAUGCUGCUCUGCAGCAGAGUAGAGAUUCAGAUAUUUAACUCUGUGAAUUCAUUUAUUUUUGGUCCUUUGAGAAAUGUUUGACUUGGGAAGAGUUGCUGUCCUUGGAUUUUUAUAUGUGUUUUUGAGCAUUUUACAGAACUUCUGCUUUUUAUGCUGCAACUUCAUUUUAGACAUUAGGUAAACAAACCCUUGAUAUAACAAGCUUAUCAAGAUAAGCCAUGCUCUCAUGUAUUUAUAUAUACCAAAGGGUUUUACCAUAAGGUAAGUUUAAGUUUAGCUUAAAUUAGAGUGCUCUAAGCACUCUUACCUUAUAAAUCUACAUAAAGGAUUGACCUCAAUUGAUGCUUCACUUCAAAAUCAGAAAACAUAAUGGAAAACCAAAUUAUAAAAAUCUUACCGAGUCCCCCCCACCCCAUUACAGCUUUUAUCACAGUCCUGGAUCCCCAGGGGGAAAUGCUGCUCUAACCAAGCUCUUAGCUUGCCGUGGCAGUCAACAAGAUUAAGGCUGUUUCUGACGAGAGCAACCUCGUGGGUUUGUCACGGUGAAUGUGCUGUCAGAGCCUCUUCUCCAGGCGAAGGAAGCGAUGAUCUCCACCUCCUGUGAGCAAAGCACAGUGCCUGAAACACUACCUGUGCCUGAAACACUAGCUGUGAAUGGGCAGCCAGUGCCGAGGAGAGCAGGGUGUACUAUGAAAGCACUUGGUAAUGCAGCGCCCGUGUGCUCCAGCUGCAAUUUCCAGGGAGCUGACGCAGAGCGCAUCGCAGUAUUCUCAUCUGAAGGAGAUAAGGCAUAGAUCACAGCAGUAGACUUGUCUCAGAAAGGAGCCAGUGCCUCUCAUGUCCCAAGACAAGCGAGCAGAGGAGCAGGCAAGUCUUUCCUAGAUGCUCCAGCUGCAUGAUUGCCUGACCAGCGGCUGGGGAGUCCCUAACACCCACAAAUUGUUAACUUGAAAGACAAAUGGUAGAAGCACAUGUAAUUAUUGUCUGCUCCGGUUGUUUUCCCCAGACUACUGGCAUCAUUUUAGGCUUAUCUAGAUGGAAUUUCAGCCAGCCUCCAAAUUAUCUUUGACAGAUAAUGCAUGGUAUGAGAUGUGGUGGUUUGUAUUCAUUUUUCAUAAAAAGCAAGUCACCUGUGGAGGAGCCAUUAGUGAAGUUGUCAACUGUCUGUGCUUACAACACAGUCCUUCUCAGCAGUUCAUUGCCUUUUGGAUGAGCUCUGAGCAGAGGCCUUCUCCUGGAAUACAGCUUGCUGAGGAUCUGGGAAACAAAGCUUGGGAAACAGGGCAGUUAUUGAAAGUGUCAUAUCUGCUCAGUAAAGUUCCUGGCAAAGCAAGUUUUAAAUGAUGCUUGAGCUUUCUCUGCCCAGCAUUUAAGAGCUUCACAGACUGCCAGCCCUACUGCGUUUUCACGUGAAAUGUUCUGAGUGGCAGAUGGAGGAAACUGUAAUGUCAUAUAGAGCUUCCUUUGCUGCCAUACAGGCUUAAAUGAAGGAGGUGAUGAUUUGACAGGCACUGCAUCCUUGCUCUACAGCUGCCCCAAUCCACCAGUCUCCUUGCCCCCUUGCUCUCAAACCCAAAAACUAGCGAAUAAUCUGAAAAAUGCGUAAUUGUCUCUCCAGCACGGAAGUGCAGCUAGACACACCGGACUCUAAAAGGCCAGUGGGGACUCGGAGGGCUGGCAGUGCCGCUUCCCGUGAU